rnacentral:rRNA from 1 species
CAAGUCGAACGAACUNUAUGGAGUUAGUGGCGCACGGGUGCGUAACGCGUGGGAAUCUGCCCUUGGGUACGGAAUAACUCAGAGAAAUUUGUGCUAAUACCGUAUAAUGUCUUCGGACCAAAGAUUUAUCGCCCAAGGAUGAGCCCGCGUAAGAUUAGCUAGUUGGUGGGGUAAAAGCCUACCAAGGCGACGAUCUUUAGCUGGUCUGAGAGGAUGAUCAGCCACACUGGGACUGAGACACGGCCCAGACUCCUACGGGAGGCAGCAGUGGGGAAUAUUGGACAAUGGGCGAAAGCCUGAUCCAGCAAUGCCGCGUGAGUGAUGAAGGCCUUAGGGUUGUAAAGCUCUUUUACCCGGGAUGAUAAUGACAGUACCGGGAGAAUAAGCUCCGGCUAACUCCGUGCCAGCAGCCGCGGUAAUACGGAGGGAGCUAGCGUUGUUCGGAAUUACUGGGCGUAAAGCGCGCGUAGGCGGUCUUUUAAGUCAGAGGUGAAAGCCCGGGGCUCAACCCCGGAAUAGCCUUUGAAACUGGAAGACUUGAAUCUUGGAGAGGUCAGUGGAAUUCCGAGUGUAGAGGUGAAAUUCGUAGAUAUUCGGAAGAACACCAGUGGCGAAGG